UCCUGUUCCUCUGAGACUCCUAAGGGUCAGCAGGCUCACCCACGACGUGACAACCUCUUGUCCAGAUCCUUCUCUUCUCCUCGCGGUUCCCACCAUGUCCUCUCUAGACGUCCGACCCCCACUGAUGUCCGUACCAUAUUGUGCCCUGCCUGCGUUCUCAGGCCACUCGAACCACAACCAGCACUGACAUGGAACCCAAGGUUAAUGACAUGCCAUGAAACAUUUACAUCUCACAAAAAUGUUUCCCCUUCUUUUUUUCUUCUUUCUCCCUGUACAUUCUGUGCUUUUUCCAUCCAGAUGUGAUGUCCAUCUAGCGGGAGGGAGAGUAUGUGUGUGUGUGUGUUGGGGUGUGUGUGGGGGGAGGGGGGGCUCUAUGAGAAGUGGAGCUCCUCGGGAGGGAAGGGAACCAACAGCAUCUGUGAGAGAGGAGAGCUGCAGAGGGGCUUGGCAGGACUUCAAGGCCGAGACAUGAACUGUAACCUCCAUUCUUCAUCCUCUUCUUCUCAAAAACAAGCCCAGUCGAUUGUUCUGUACCGUCUCAAUGUGGACGAUUGUGUUCAUUUCCUGGCUUUGGUUCUUAUGAACUUAUUUGAUAUGGCCCCUAUAGCUUACAUUACAAUUUUAGCAAUAGUAAACCUAUGUAAAUGUAGACGGCAAAAUCUUGUCACUUCGAAAUUUUGUCAAUUCAAAAAAGUGUAAUAAAAUAAUUUUGGACUCAUUUUAUUUAAUAAAAGCAUGCCACUAUUUCUAUUCAAAA